rnacentral:rRNA from 1 species
CCUACGGGAGGCUGCAGUGAGGAAUAUUGCUCAAUGGGCGCGAGCCUGAACCAGCCAAGUAGCGUGAAUGAUGACUGCCCUAGGGGUUGUAAACUUCUUUUAUAAAGAAAUAAAUUGAGGUACGUGUGCCUUUUUGUAUGUACUUUAUGAAUACGGAUCGGCUAACUACGUGCCAGCAGCCGCGGUAAUACGGAGGAUCCGAGCGUUAUCCGGAUUUAUUGGGUUUAAAGAGAGCGUAGAUGGGUUGUUAAGUCAGAUGUGAAAGUUUGCGGCUCAACCGUAAAAGUGCAAUUGAUACUGGCAGACUUGAGUGCAGAUGAGGUAGGCGGAAUUCGUGGUGUAGCGGUGAAAUGCUUAGAGAUCACGAAGAACACCGAUGGCGAAGGCAGCUUACUAAACUGCAACUGACAUUGAUGCUCGAAAGUGUGGGUAUCAAACAGGAUUAGAUACCCCGGUAGUC